rnacentral:lncRNA from 1 species
AGUGCCUGGCACAUAAUAAAUGUUGAUUGAUUGAUUGAUUGAUUGCAGUAGGACCCGAUUGUAGCCUGGAGGACAGCUGAGAAGAAGGAAGCCUCCUUAAGGUGAUUGGCUGAAGAACAGCAGCCAUAGGUGAUCUAAGGCUGCCCCAAAGCAGCUGGAGGAGGAGCAGGGCUAGGAGCUGAGCAGGACCCAACCAGCUCUGCACACCUAGGAGCAGGAAGCAGAGCAGCUGGUCCAUGAAAGUGAAAUCCAGCAGGAGACUUGCCUUCACCAGGCCCAACUAAGUGAGCCAGAACGAACAGACCACUGAGCGCUCUAAGGCACAGGUGAGGAGCAAAAGCCCCUUCAAGCUGUGAUGCCCCUCAAGGUCCCACUUCUAGGGAAGAAAUCCCUUGAGCUCUCAACCCUUCUUCCUCCUUCCCUCCUUCCCCCCAGAUGAAGAGAGCUCACUAUGAUGCCAAGGAGCAGAACUGGUUGCAGAAACACCUGCAGCACAUGGAGAAUCUACAGAAGGAAAAUGCGGAGUUAGAGAGGGUCAGUGGGGAGCUGCGGCAGGUUUGGCUGAAGAUCAAAGAGGUUGAGCAGGCCUGCCGCCACCUUGCAGCCCGAAUUGAAAUGCUGGAGGCACAGGUGAUUCUGCUUCUUUUAUUUAACUGCAGUCCUUGGUCUUGUCAUGUGGAUCUGUCUCCUCUCUACUUUAACUCCAUGGACCAGAAUGGAGACCAUUAUGAGGACAUCCCAAUCCCAAUCUUUAGCCACCAGCCAAGGAGUCCUAGCCCAGUCACAUGCCUGAUAACUUCUGGACCUGAGGAAGAAUCCCAGCCAACUGCUCCAAUAGUAUCAGACCAGGCCUGACCAGUCAAAGCAGCAAGAGAUGAGACAAGGAGGCCUUCCAAUAAAAUGUUAAGCUCAGGCCUUGUCUAGUUUUCU